rnacentral:rRNA from 1 species
UUGUUGGUAAGGUAAAGGCUUACCAAGGCUUCGAUCAGUAGCUGGUCUGAGAGGACGGCCAGCCACACUGGGACUGAGACACGGCCCAGACUCCUACGGGAGGCAGCAGUGGGGAAUUUUGGACAAUGGGGGAAACCCUGAUCCAGCCAUGCCGCGUGAGUGAAGAAGGCCUUCGGGUUGUAAAGCUCUUUCAGCCGGAACGAAACGGUUACGGAUAAUACCCGUGACUACUGACGGUACCGGAAGAAGAAGCACCGGCUAACUACGUGCCGGCAGCCGCGGUAAUACGUAGGGUGCGAGCGUUAAUCGGAAUUACUGGGCGUAAAGCGUGCGCAGGUGGUUUUGUAAGUCAGAUGUGAAAGCCCCGGGCUCAACCUGGGAACUGCGUUUGAAACUACAAGACUAGAGUGUGGCAGAGGGGGGUGGAAUUCCGCGUGUAGCAGUGAAAUGCGUAGAGAUGUGGAGGAACACCGAUGGCGAAGGCAGCCCCCUGGGUUAACACUGACACUCAGGCACGAAAGCAUGGGGAGCAAACAGGAUUAGAUACCCUGGUAGUCCAUGCCCUAAACGAUGUCAACUAGUUGUCGGGCCUUUACGGGCUUGGUAACGUAGCUAACGCGUGAAGUUGACCGCCUGGGGAGUACGAUCGCAAGAUUAAAACUCAAAUGAAUUGACGGGGACCCGCACAAGCGGUGGAUUAUGUGGAUUAAUUCGAUGCAACGCGAAAAACCUUACCUACCCUUGACAUGUAUCGAAGCCCGCAGAAAAGCGGGGGUGCCCGAAAGGGAACGAUAACACAGGUGCUGCAUGGCUGUCGUCAGCUCGUGUCGUGAGAUGUUGGGUUAAGUCCCGCAACGAGCGCAACCCUUGUCAUUAAUUGCCAUCAUUUAGUUGGGCACUUUAAUGAGACUGCCGG